AGAACGAACACUGGCGGCAUGCCUAACACAUGCAAGUCGAACGAGACCUUCGGGUCUAGUGGCGCACGGGUGCGUAACGCGUGGGAAUCUGCCCUUGGGUUCGGGAUAACAGUUGGAAACGACUGCUAAUACCGGAUGAUGUCUUCGGACCAAAGAUUUAUCGCCCAGGGAUGAGCCCGCGUAGGAUUAGCUUGUUGGUGAGGUAAGAGCUCACCAAGGCGACGAUCCUUAGCUGGUCUGAGAGGAUGAUCAGCCACACUGGGACUGAGACACGGCCCAGACUCCUACGGGAGGCAGCAGUGGGGAAUAUUGGACAAUGGGCGAAAGCCUGAUCCAGCAAUGCCGCGUGAGUGAUGAAGGCCUUAGAGUUGUAAAGCUCUUUUUACCCGGGAUGAUAAUGACAGUACCGGAGAAUAAGCCCCGGCUAACUCCGUGCCAGCAGCCGC
rnacentral:rRNA from 1 species